rnacentral:lncRNA from 1 species
UUUUUUUUUGUUGCAACCGGUAUAUAUUUUUGCUGCAACAGGCGAUUUGUUUUGCUACACCCGUUUCAUGUUUUUCUACAUUCAUUCAUGGCCGAGUUGAGUUCCGGGAUGACAUCGCCUUUUCUUGCUGCAACCGUUGUAGUUUUUGCUACACCCAUCGAGGAAUUUUGCUACAUCCCCUUUUUUCCUCGUGGAGCUGCAAGCUCGACGGCGGUGUUGAGGAUUUUUUCCUGCAACCGUUGUCUUCAUUUGCUACGACCGACACGGGAAAAUGCUACAACGGGCAUCUUUGUUUUUUGCUGGAACGAGUCAAUCAUUGAUGAGGCGGAGCUGCAUCCAUGACAAAAAAAAGCUACAACUCGCAUGAUUUUUUGCUGGAACCAGCUUUAGCAUCGGUUAGCCAGAAAACACUAGUAGAUUUCCUACCACGGGUCAGCUUGGGGAUCUCCGGCGAGUGCGGGCAGCCAGAACGGCGAGCACGGACGGCCGGGGCGACGAGCGCGGGGCGGCGCCAUGGCCGGUGCGACGAAGNNNNNNNNNNGUCGAGGAAUUUUGCUACAUCCCCUUUUUUCCUCGUGGAGCUGCAAGCUCGACGGCGGCGAUGAGGAUUUUUUCCUGCAACCAUUGUCUUCAUUUGCUACGACCAACAUGGGAAAAAUACUACAACGGGCAUCUCUGUUUUUUGCUGAACGAGUCAAUCAUUGAUGAGGCGGAGCUGCAUCCAUGACAAAAAAAGCUACAACUCGCAUGAUUUUUUGCUGGAACCAGCUUUAGCAUCGGUCAGCCAGAAAACACUAGUAGAUUUCCUACCACGGGUCAGCUCGGGGAUCUCCGGCGAGUGCGGGCAGCCAGAACGGCGAGCACGGACGGCCGGGGCGACGAGCGCGGGGCGGCGCCAUGGCCGGUGCGACGAAGCACGGGCGGCGCCCUUGCCGGGGCGACAAGUGAUGCGGCGGGCAGCCGGGGCGACGAGCGCGGGCGGCGCCAUGGCCGGGGCGACGAGCGCCACAGGCGGCGAGGGCGACGAGCACGGCCGGUGCCAAGGCGGCAAGCGUGGGCUUCGUGGUCGCGCAUCCAUGGCGGCCUUGACUGGCUCGCUCCUCUCUCUCUAUCAUCAUCAACCUCUCCUUCCGCCUUGCUGGAUCAAGAAGGAGNNNNNNNNNNNNNNNNNNNNNNNNNNNNNNNNNNNNNNNNNNNNNNNNNNNNNNNNNNGGGGCGACGAGCGAUGCAGCGGGCGGCCGGGGCGACGAGUGCAGGCGGCGCCAUGGCCGGGGCGACGAGCGCCACCGGCGACGAGGGCGACGAGCACGGGCGGUGCCAAGGCGGCAAGCGCGGGCUUCGUGGUCGCGCAUCCAUGGCGGCCUUGACUGGCUCGCUCCUCUCUCUGUUUGCUGGAGACGCUGAAGACGAGGAUAAGGUAAGGAAAAAAUAGAAUAAGAAGUUGCGAUCUGAUGGUCUCGUGCAGCCAGAUCGGGCGGCUGGGGCAGACCGGCCGAAACUUUCGGCCGCACCGGCGCCCAGUGCUGCCCCACCUUUAAAGGUGCCUGUGGAAUUAUACUCGUCGUGUAUGGUUGGUUUACCACCACUGCACGCUAGGUACUUACUUAGGUAGCCAGCUUGGGCUAUAUAUACGGUCGGUCCGAUACGUGCAAGGUGCAACAGCGCACCACAGAUCAGUCAGUGCAACGAACUCAUUUACGUACGAUCCUAGCUAGAGCUUGGACGAGGAUGUGCAACUGCGGUACGGUAGGACCUUCAGCUACGACCGGCAGCUGCACAUCCAUGCCCAAGCUCUACCUACUGUCGUCACUACUGUAGCUGCUCCACGCUCAGCGACCCCUGCGCCGCGCGUGUGCCCAUGGCGACGGAGGUGACCCUGCGCCGCUUCGACCUCUCGGACGUGGACGCCAUGAUGGCAUGGGCGUCCGACCCCGAGGUCGCCGCCUUCUGCCGCUGGGCGCCCUUCGCGUCCACGGAGACGGAAGCCCUGCUCGCCCACAUCCGGGACACCGCGCUCUCGCACCAGUGGUACCGCGCCAUCUGCCUCGCCGGCGACGCUCGCCCCGUCGGCUCGGUGUCCCUGGAGCCCACGGCUGACCCGUGCCGCGGGGAGCUCGGCUACGUGGUGGCCCGCGCGCACUGGGGCAGGGGCGUGGCCACCGCCGCCGUGAGGGCCGCGCUCGCCGCGGUGUUCGGCGAGGUGGAGGGGCUGGCGCGCGUGGAGGCGCUGGUGGACGUGGACAACGCGGCGUCGCAGCGCGUGGCGGAGAAGGCCGGGUUCCGCCGCGAGGGCGUCCUGCGGCGCCACUACUGGCACAAGGGCCGCGUCAGGGAUCUCGUCGUCUACGGCUUCGUCUCCGGCGACCCCUUGCCCCCAUCACAUGAGGAUGAGGUAUGUAAGCCACUCACUCGCCUUGGCCUCGUGCGUCCAGCGUCUCACUCUGUCCAACGAACUAGGCUCGGAGAUCGAUGGAGCGAGAAGCGGCAGCCCGGACGCCGGAGCGCGCGGACGAGGUGACCCUCCGGCCGUUCGACCUCGCCGACGCCAUGACGGCGUGGGCGGAACACCCCGUACUGGUACCGCCUACGGCCUCCAUGGCGUCGGGGGUCUACUUCUCCCCGCCCCGCGACGCCCUGCUCGCGUUCCUCCGGGGCACCGACCCUCCGCACACCUGGAUCCGCGCAGUCUGCCUCGGCGGCGCCAUCGUGGGCGCGGUGACCGUGUCGCGCACAGAGGACCGGUGCCGCGCGGAGGUCGGAACCGCGCUGGCGCGCGCGCACCGGGGCACGGGCGUGGCCGCGGCGGCCCUGAGGCGCGCGGCGACCGCGGCGUUGGGGGACCUGGAGGGCGUGGAGCGCGUGGAGGCGCUGGUGGACGCGGACGACGCCGCGUCCCGGCGCGCGGUGGAGGACGCCGGGUUCCGCCGCGAGGCCGUGCUGCGGAGCCACCGCGACGCCAAGGACGUGGUCGUCUACAGCCUCAUCUCCACAGACGACGACCCACUCAUCGGCUUACGCAGUUCAUGACGUCGUUGGCUUGUUGCCUUGCCAUGCGAUGCUAAUAAAAUUGACUCACGCAUCAUCAACACGAUCAAAUGUUACCAAGAAAAGAAACCGAAUUACAUUGCUGUGUUUCACUCUCAGCCGCGGAUUACAAGAAGGUGGUGCUGCUACUGUUCUGUCAGUCUCCAAGAGAUCGGAGCUUAUGUAUGAGAGAACACACGGGCUCGAUUAUUGAACUUUUUUGUUGAGUUGCGACUUCGACGGGAUCCCCAUGGAGACGGCGAGAGAGCACGGGCAUUGCAGGAUGCCGGCCGGCGAGCGAUCAGGCCUCCCAGCCGCGGAGGACGGUGGCGCGGGCGACGCGGUUGACGCCGAGGGUGAAGGCGCCCAUGCGGAGGUCGCAGUGGUGGGAGCGGCACAUCUCCUUGGUGUCCCGGAAGGCGCGGGUCAUGUACGUCUUGAGCUCCCGGUUCACCUUCUCCUCGUCCCACAUGAACCCCUGGAUGUUCUGCACCCACUCGAAGUAGCUCACCGUCACCCCGCCGGAGUUGGCCAGGAUGUCCGGCAGGAUCAGCACCCCCUUCUUCGCCAGAAUCUGCACCACGAACAUGUGCAUUUCUCCACUGUCAGUCAGUGUGUGAACUGAAUUAUGUCAACAAAUGCGAGCUUUGUUUUGUGGCAAAAUUUUGGGUGUUCUUGCCUCGUCGGCCUCGGGGUCUGUCGGGUGGUUCGCAGCCUCGAUGAUGUACUUUGCUUUGAUGGCAUCAGCAUUGUCCCUAGGAGAAGAAGAAAAUCAUGGUCAAGAACAGCCUUUUUGUUAACAAAAAUGUUUUCAGAUACUGAAAAAAAUAACAGCCAGGAGGAUACUAGUAUAACUGAACUUCGGAGGAGUAAUCUGAUAGAAGGUAGGAUGAAGUGAGCUGGGACGAGGAGAAAGGAGAAGAUUACUUGUUUAUGACUCCUCCCAGUGCUGCCGGGAUGAGGACGUCGCACUCUUCCGUGAGCAGCGAGGUUGGGUCGACGGCGUCUCCUCCGUCAAAGCCCUUGAUCCCGCGGUUCUCCGCCGAGUGCUUCAUCAGCUUGGCUAUGUCAAUGCCAUUGGAGUUCUUGACGGCCCCUGUGACAUCGCUGAUGGCGAUCACCUUGCCUCCAGCUUCAGUGAUCAGUUGAGCAGCCCAGGAGCCAACAUUACCAAACCCCUGAAAAAGGCAAGCGGCCAAUAAUUGCUUAUCUCUGCAAAAUGUAGGUGAAGAAACAUAGUUCUGAUCUUACUUUCUUUUUAGUAAGAAAAGUUCUGGUCUUACUCCCUUUUGUAACCAUAAAGUACAAAAGUGCGUAUUGUGCGAUCCACUGACGGCCACUUUUUAACUAGUACAUAUUUCUUAAAUCUAUGUUUGUAAUAAUAGAUUGAGGCUUCAUGACUCACACCACACUGAAUCCUCAGUUCAAUUACUUUUCAUCAUUUUAAAUUCAAAGAGCUUAACUCAUUAGCCUACACAUUAUUUAAUUACCUGGAUUACAAAACGCUGGCCUGCAAUGCCUUUGCCAUGCUCUGCAAGUAGGGCUUCAGUGGCAAACAGAACUCCCCUUCCAGUAGCUGCAUCUCUUCCCAGUGAUCCUCCAAGGUCCUGCGUUGAGCAAAAAAGUUCAGGAACAUGCGAAGAGGGAUAACUAGAAACCAGAUUUCUCUGGACAUUCAAAUCCUGGUGCUCCCACUUUUCAUCUGCAAACAACAUUUCCGUUGCACAUUACAUGAUAGAGUUUCAGGAUGAAUACUUACCACAGGCUUUCCUGUCACCACAGCAGGUGAGUAGCCAUGGAACUUUGAGUACUCAUCCAGUAUCCAUGCCAUUGUCUGAAAGCCAUGAAUGAAACAAGCAAAAGAAUCCACAUCAGAAUACAGAUGAAUAAUUCUCACAACACUCUGCAGAGAAAUAAUAAAUAUGCAAUGGACAAUAAAUACCUGUGCGUUGGUGCCCAUAUCGGGAGCUGGAACAUCGGUGUGGAUGCCAAUUAAGUCGUGAAUUUUCUGGGUGAAAACUCGGGUAAGCCGCUCGAGCUCCGAUAUGCUCAGGUCUCCAGGACUGCAUCCGAUGCCACCUUUAGCGCCUCCAUACGGAAUAUUGGCCACGGCUGUUUUCCAUGUCAUCAGUUGCGCCAAGGCAUUGACCUCGUCAGGAUCAACCUGAAUUUUUAUCAUAGCUUGUCAGUGCAAGAACUUACUACGAUCAUGGUUGCCAGUGUCUUGAACUUGCAUGCACAUGAUCGAAUUUUAUGGAAACCAAGUCAGAAUGUGAUCCAGUGUAGUAGCUUUAGUGAGAUGUGACUAAUUUCCAAAAUAGCUUUGUUCUGCUUUACUGCAAGUAGACAUUGCAAUUGCAUAGCUAGGUAUGGGCUGAACAAUAAGUCAUUCAACUAUCUGACAGGUUCCUGAAGGAGAUCGAAUUUAUGCUGAAGGACCAUUUCAAGUCGGCGACAGUGCGGCAAGAAUCAAGUGCUUAAUGGCUGGUUGUGUCAUGAUGAACAGAAGAACCCAGGAAUAUAUAUACUUAUGUGUGCUCAGUUGCUCACCUCAUGGUGGUAUCUGAUUCCACCCUUCAUAGGGCCCCUGGCAUUGUCAUGCUGCACCCUAAACCCAACAUAGGAUGCUAAUGUCCCAUCAUCUUUCGGAAUUGUGCACUCAACCUGCAACCACAAGCUUCAUUGUUAUACUGAAUAAUGGAACAAACAGUUCACCUCACAUAGACAGGACACAUGCUCAUAAAUUAGAAGGGUCCUGGACACAGUUUAACCUUACAGAGUAAGUGGCCAAGAGGCCAGUUCAACAACUUUUUUGCCAUAUUCAGCAGGAAAAACAGAAUAAAUUAACAUGGAUACGGGCUACGGCAAGCAAGAGAGUGUGAAAGAAAAUCAAGUGAAGUCUCUCGCAAAAAAAAAAAAAAUCAAGUGAAGUAGUAGGUUGGAAAAUGUCAAAUCCGAAGAUAAUCUGGUAGCCUAACCAGAAACUCAUAAAUUUACAGACCAGAUAAGAAAUAAUCGCAGGUCAACUACCAUAAGUCCCCAAGGACCAAGGUGAUACUACUUCUCAAUAACCACUGAACUCCAUAGAACAAAGAGCGUAAAUCGCUAUCCAGAUUCACUCAUUCACAGCAAAAUAUGUAUAAUCCGGGAUCAAGGAAUAAUCACCUUGAUCUCCCUGAAGGGGAUGAGCAGGCUCUUCUCGAGCUUGGAGUCGAGGCCCAGCAGCUUGGCCGCCUGCUUGAAGUUCCGGCUGGUGGCCGCCAAUGCGUUCAUCCUGCUCGACGAAAUUCCCCCUCCGGAGCCGCCGCGCCUGAAAAAGAGAUCGAGAACCCAACAUCAUCAGUAAAAUCCGAGAAACCAAAUCACACGAGACAAAAAGAUUAAACUCUGCGCGAGGAACCAGAGGAUAAUCUGCUUUUAUAUUACCGACGAGCAGAGUAGCGGCGAAGUGUUGUUAGUGGCGAGAGCAGGGGGGAGGCAGCGGCACAAAGACUAUGGAGGAGUUUCAGGUAGGCCGUAUGCAUAUGUAGGCACACUGAACCCCUCGGUGGAUUUGGGUUCCGUUCAAAAAGCAGAGGAGAUUUUUUUUUUCUUUUUAAUUUUAAUUUGUUUUUGUUUUUUUUGUCUCUACCAGGAUAAGAACAAGAUCUGGUUCUCGGCCUGCCUGCAAUUAAUUUCCCUGGAAACCCGAGCCCUGUCUGUAAUCAAUACCGUAAUUAACUAUUCCUAGCCUACUAGUACCAGAUUGAAGAGCGUCAAUCUAUGCCAUGGAAUCGACCAUCUACACUUUUAUUUAGUUUAGAGGUGCUAUCUAUACGUGCUAGUAGGAGCUUACUAACAUCUACAGUACAAAAAUAACACUGUUCUAGGGCCAACAUCUGAAUGAAGAUUCAGACUGCCGACAGCUGCGCUUGUUUUGCUGAGAAAAUGCCCAGAAUUUGAGCCGCAAGCCAGUGGAAGGGGUGUUCAAGGAAGCCUCUGCAUGUGGCAAUUUCAGAUUGCUCAAAUCGGUUGUAUGUAUGCACUGUACUGAGGUGUGCAUGUACGGGCUUGUACAGCUUGCGCCAGGCAAACUGCUGAUACGCUGACGGUGCUGAGCAUCCAUGCACGUGUAACAUGUGAUCCCUGACACUUCAUGCUUACAAUACAUGUCUGUCAAACAGUCAAGUAUUCCCUCCGUAAACUAAUAUAAGAGUAUUUAGAUCACUAUUUUAGUGAUCUAAACGCUCUUAUAUUAGUUUACAGAAGGAGUACGUACUAAAUAUAAGGCUUCUUAGAGAUUUUAUAAUAGGGACUAUAUACAGAUGUAUAUAGACAUGUUUUGGAGUGUAGAUUCACUCAUUUUACUCAGUAUGUAGUCUGUACCAAAAUCUCUAAAAAGCUUAUAUUUAGAAAUGGAGGGAGUAGUACUUAAUUACAGCUACAGUUAGAGCUCAACAACUUGGUCUAGCAGUUGAGUGAUACUACUACUGUAGAAAUCAGUUGUCUGUACUUUGGCCGCCUGUAAGAGAUGGAAAUUUCAGAAGCAACUUGGCGAAAAAGCACAUGGCUGACUCAGCUGCGAUGCUCCGUGGAAUUAUUUGGCUAACCAUGCAGUCUUGCACUGUUUUGCAUAGCGCAAUCUAAAUAAUUGGACACAAAGACACGUGUAUCCCAUGGGUCAGGGGGUUGUUGGCAAACUCGGAUUAAGGCUAGCUGAUGGUCUGCCUAGGAUGUGUGAAGCAUAUGCCAUAUGCCGUAUGUUAUUUAUUUAUUUGAUUGACAACACAUAUGCCAUAUUUUGUUUGUGUCAUAUGGUGACAAGAAAUAUAUCAUAUGUCAUGGACAGGGCUGGUAUGAUAAUUAAACGAACCUAUUAGUAUGGCUAAUGCCAACUUUGGCUCAAGAUAAGAGGGCAUAAGUUCCAGGAAGAUGCAUUCGCCGAAAAGUAGGGGCAGAUUGGGGGAGCAGGACAAUCCCAGAACGGGCAGCAAAAUCAUGUGGAGAAGAAGAAGAAGCAAUAGGGAUCGAAAAGUGGUUUAGCUGCUUUUAGAUGCAUGGAUUCCAGAUUAUGCAAGGCCUGCAUUAUUUGUCCUGUUUUAUGCUAUCUCUUUUUUAAUGCCCCAAAAUGAAUGACAAAACAAUCGCCCCACUAUCAGUGCAGAUAAUGAUAAUUAAGGUGAUGCUUUCAAAUCAGAGGAUGAUGAAGGCAAAUAUUCUCAAAUCAGAGGAUAAUGAAGGCAAAUAUUCUCAUAAUCAGAUCCCGGAUUAGGUAGCCGUAGAUGAACAAGCCCAAUCAAAGCUGCAUAAUACUAGUACUAGUACAGAGUUCAGAGCUUGGAUAAACCAUCAGUAACUCAUUGAUCUUUCUCUGGCCAUGUGAUCACUGCUAACACUAGCACACUACCAUGUAAAGGAAACACAAAGGGAGAGAGGGUAUUACUUUCUUGCAGCACCUGAUCAGGAUGAGUGAAUCCUAGCGGCUGAGGGGUUUCACCCGUGCUGCCCGCUCUGUUGUGGCAUUCAGGCAGAGGGUUACAAGGGGUUUUAUAGGGAGAAACCGGCUGGGAAUGAUACACGGAAUUAGUUCGGAGAUAUGGGGGAAUAAACGAGGAUCGUAUAUUUCUCCAAGGACUUUGGACGAUUCCAUGUGCUUGGGUUGAGUUGGCCGGGUUGCAUUGCAUCGAAUUCCAUUUCAUUGCUAUUCGAGGGCCAAAUGGGCAGAGGGUCCACGCCCCGAAUUCUCAGUCUAGUCAGAAUGGAGCUAUAGAGAUUAUGUUCGCAAACUGGUAACUAUGCUCGGUUGGUUAGGUAUCCUGUGCUAGAAUACACCCAUCUGGAUUUAAGUCAUAUACUUGCACUCUCAGACGAGUGCUCGUGUUUUUCUGAAUUUAUUCCACAAUUUUUUUCGCUAUUUUCUAGUGGAAGACGUCUUGCGCCUUGACUAUGAGGUGCCUAUGAUGAGAUUUACCGGUUUGGUCUCUUGGAGAAGAGUGCUCGUAUUUUCAUGAAUUUAUUUUGUAAUUUUCGGCGCUAUUCCUUAGUGGGAUACGUUGUGCACCUCGAGUACGAGGUGCCUAUGAUGAGAUUUGCCGACUCAGACAUGCUUGUAGGGUCAAAGUGUGUGCGCAUGCCUUUUUGGGAGUGCACUUGUGUGUGAGCAUUUGUAUUUCCAUAGAAAGACUGUGUGUGUGAAAGAGAGAGAGAAUAUGUAGUAAGUUCUUCGGAAAUAAGCGUAUUUCAGACGCACCUCAUCCACCUUGCCUUCACAAUAAUGCGUCAAGCGAUGAUUAUGACAAAUCUGGUCCAGAAGAUAUCCUCAGGGAGAGAGAGCAAAUCAUCAAAUGCAGAGCAACCGAAAGCUCCAUGUCAUGAAUUAUGACGAGAGACGCAUCCUCUUGCAUCACCGGUGGAAAACCGCGGAAUAUGGAACCAAUCGCAGGAUGCGCCGCGCAAAUUGGCGCAAUUGGAGUCCAGCGACAUGGCCACCGCCUCUUCCCAAUUGCUUUAGAAUUCUUUCCUCGUAGAUGGAUGGAUGGAUGACUUGUGUUUGUUUCGUGGACAAUGCAUAGAUUACUACUAGACCUUUACUGCCGUGUCAUGGAUGUAGCAUCAUGCUGCAUUAGGCCAAAAAAGCACGCCCAAAAGGGAGGUUCUCUCAGCAGAAAAGUGUAUGUGUUUCGUGUGUGGAGAUUCCAGCCUUUGUAUGCACCAACUUGUGAUGAGUCUUCAGUGUCACUCAUAAGUCUCCUUUCAGGGUUCAUGUUAUUUUUUCCAAGAAUAUUUUAAAAGCUUUGUUUUGGGGAGUGCUAACUGGGAAGGAAGCUAUCUAGGGAUUUCUGGAUUUCAAAGGAAUUUGAGAGAACAGUAAAAUUCCUUGUACAUGUUGCAAGAAAAGGAAUGAUGAUUUCUUUGGAAGAGGAGAAUUUCGGAGAUCGUUUCGUUUCCCGUAGGAAGAGGAAAUGUUCCCACGUGUCAACCGGGGAUUAAAUCGAGAUUCAAAUUAGUUUCAACAUCAUUAUAGAAAGAUAUUUUCAUAUUGGAGACUGAUACUUUUAAACUUUAAUAUAGCUGUGUGCAUCGUAAUGAUGCAGAGGCGGGGUGAUCCUUCUUUUUCUAAAGACAUUUCAGAGAAAGAAUAUUUAAAUGUUGGGUUUGUCUAGGACACAUCUAGAUGUGUCAUAGUUAUUGCACAUCUAAGUGACACAAUCAAGUAUGGAAAGAAAAAAGAAAAGAUAAAAAUAAAUACCCACACGAAUCUCCGUGUAAGAUCAAUGACGUAAGACUUAGAUGUGCAAUACUUAUGGUACAUCUAGAUGUGCUUUAGCAAAACUGUUAAAUGUUAUAUGGAUUUUUUUUUGAGAAAUAUCAUGUGGCUGUUUUUCCCUGUGCGAAUUACUGCAAAUUCCUCAUGUAACAUCUUUUGGGAUUAACUACUUUGUUUGCAGUUAUUUACAUAAAACUGCACCUGUUAUUCUUGUGCAGUUCAUUGAUUUUCAUUUUUCUGAGACCCAGAGAAGGCCUGAACUUCAUGCACAAUAGGUGGAUGGACUUGCGUGCUGGAGUCAAUGCCUACCAUUCGGUGUAAAGGGAAAAGGCAGACAGUCAUUUCCCAAUCUGAAUGUUGAUUAGGACUACCACUUACAAGAAAAUAAAUAAAUCCUGACCAUAGCACCGUUCUGUUAGAUCUAUUUUCGAGUCAUCGUGUUAGUGGUGCUAAUUUUAAUUUAAAACUUAAGACAGCCCACUUGAGCUACAGCAAAGAGGCCGAAAUGAUAGUCAAAGUUGAAGAAGAGAAUGUGACACCUCGAGUUUGCAAGAGCGCGUGACCUCUCGAGUACGCAAUAAGCACAAAGAUGAAGAUGUUAAGACAGUGGGUUGGUUUGAGUUAGGGCAUCUCCAACGCUAUUCGCUAAAGCCAACACACUAUUCAUCCGGGGUCCAUUCGUGGAUCACAUACGGAUGGAUCCACGGACAGGACACGGGAGCCGGUCAUUCAACUUUGUCCCUCAAAUAAGCAUCAGAUCCGAAUAGCAGAAUUGGGCCAAGCGGACCUGGACGACAAAGCACAUGGAUCGUGAUGACAUAUGGUCCAACUGACAGUGGGUCAAGCAGACCUCUACAUGCUGCCUGGACAACCGUAAAUCAAUUAUUUGUUUGCUGCCAUGAUACUAGAAUUCAGACAUCUAGAUUGGUUUGUGGACAUAUACGGGUCCCCAUUUGAUGACAAAAGUGAACAAAAUUGGUCCAGACACCAUAAUCUGGAUAUUUACGAGAGUUUUGAGGGCACAUGCUUUCGAGAUGCCCUUAGCCCUAAGGGUUCUCAAAAGAAUCGGGAAACCAAACACACUACGUUUCCUGACUGAUAUGCACACAACACUUGAAUCAAACGGGGUAGGAGUGUUGGCCAUUGUGUGGUGGCCGCAGCAUGCCGACUAUAAAUCCGCAGUAGUAUUUUCGCAUAGAUAGCAAGAUUAUAAAAUAAAGUAGAAUAGAAACAGACGCAAACGGAUCUUUGCUUCCGAACAAAACCCUGCCAUCAAAUAGGUUGUCCCAGGAGCACCAUAUUCUAGGAGCCCAAGUUAUGCCAAAUGUUGCGCUCAGGCAUUACUCAAUAGAGGUGCAAGGCAUGCCCAGACAACCACAAUAUGAACAAAUUGUUGUGAUUUAUGUUCAUCAUGGAGCGAACUAAUUGAAUUGUAAAUUCAAAACGUAUUUAGUCAAGUGUAAAAACGAUGCAGCCAGGCCAUGUUCCAGGAAUUAUCCACUAUCUUACGUUCUACAGGUUCUUCAGUCUGUAGGCUCCGGAAGUCAGCACUUUGUGGAUGGCAAAGGGAUCUUCCCAAGGGUGAUGAGAGCUUGUGCAUCCUCUCCUUCUGAAUCAGGCAGAGCACAAGGUCGCCGACCUAGUGCUCGUAUAUUUUACUGGUAGAUGGGAUGAGAGAUACAAAGAAACAACUGUGUGUUUCGCAAUACUUCUAGUUGGAUGAAUGCUACGGACCUAGUCACAAAGAUCUUUGAGGAGCUACAGUUGUGGACCCUAGCAGGAAGAAGAGGAGUCAACGUGUGGUGUGAGUAGUAGCGUGAGGUAGUAGGAGUAGGAGUAGAGUGUCAUUUUGCCUUAGCCGAUCUGUGGCUUUGAGGCCUCAAGUUCUUGUAAAUACUCUUUCCAUCUUCUAUAAAGGUACGGUACGUAUUUUGCAUACUCUAAAAAAAAGGCAUCCUUUUUAGAGAAUUUAAUCUGCUCUAAAACAGAGUAUACGCCUGUGACUGUGAGCCCAGUUGAGCUUUUGAGCUUUUUUUUACUGAAGGCUGAAAUCUUCAGGAGUACCAAGGGGCAUUAGAGAACGGAGGGCACCUAGAUUGAUCUGAAAGACUAGUUUGAAGCUGCCCAUUAGUCUCUUCUCACAAAACUGUUCAUGACAAUUCAAUGUGACAUAUCAACAGAGUCCAGGUCCAAGCAAUCAAUGUGUUUGUUUAGCAACCAAUACAUUGCAUCACCGGCCAAGAUCUUCUAUACACUACAAAAAGGUGCUACUACCAGGAAAAGAACAGUGCACCGAGACAAACCACAUAGUAGAUACUAAUCAUCCACAUACAUAUUAAUCACCAGCCAGGUCCAAUGGAAGUAAUCUGUGUCAGAUUCCAAGUAUUCUCAGCACCCUUCAAAGGAAGUAAGACAGGGAUAACUGUAUCUUUACUUGUGAUCUCAUCAUCCACAUACAUACUAAUCAGUUUGAGUUUCAAAAAAAGUAAAAUUUGUCAAACCUAUCAGAUUCAUAUAUCAAACAAGAAAGAACUGCCAUGGUCGCCAAGAAUUAGAUCUAUAAAACAGAAAGAAAAAAUAACAUAAAGGACACGUUUCCAGGAUAUAAGCUGGCACAAAGAACGCCACCAAUCAGGACAUACCACACGUAAGAGAAUAGCUGUAGCGUCCGAGACUAAUUACUGCGAGGAACACAAGUCAUCCUCAGGAAUUGGUAACGAACGCGCAUCAAACCAAGAAACAAACAGUAAGAAACAUACAGACUACUCCACAGAUAAAUCAUCAAUUUGGGGGAGCUCAGACAGCCAAGGGGUCGUCCGCAGAUGCCACUGAAGAGGAGGCAUCAGAAACUCUAGUCCACAAAUUUGUCAUCACCACUACAACAUCAUGGACCAUCAAAACUAAAAAUAAGAAACAAACCAAAUCGAGAUUCAUCAAGAAUCAAAAGAGCGNNNNNNNNNNNNNNNNNNNNNNNNNNNNNNNNNNNNNNNNNNNNNNNNNNNNNNNNNNNNNNNNNNNNNNNNNNNNNNNNNNNNNNNNNNNNNNNNNNNNNNNNNNNNNNNNNNNNNNNNNNNNNNNNNNNNNNNNNNNNNNNNNNNNNNNNNNNNNNNNNNNNNNNNNNNNNNNNNNNNNNNNNNNNNNNNNNNNNNNNNNNNNNNNNNNNNNNNNNNNNNNNNNNNNNNNNNNNNNNNNNNNNNNNNNNNNNNNNNNNNNNNNNNNNNNNNNNNNNNNNNNNNNNNNNNNNNNNNNNNNNNNNNNNNNNNNNNNNNNNNNNNNNNNNNNNNNNNNNNNNNNNNNNNNNNNNNNNNNNNNNNNNNNNNNNNNNNNNNNNNNNNNNNNNNNNNNNNNNNNNNNNNNNNNNNNNNNNNNNNUUGCUGUUUGGAAAAGAAAAAAAUGACAUCACAUUGCUGUUUGGAAUUUGUAGGCGGCAUUGGUGGGGAUUUAUAUAAAAAAAUUGAAGGUGGGGAUUUUUCUAGGGUUUUCCUCUUCUCUUUGCGGGUGCAGAUGGGGCAGGCCGACGCAUCCACCUGCGUGAGAGGCAGACAAGGCCACAAGUAGACGCACUUUAUUUCCUAUUUGCCACCUUUAGCGGCGCAUCCGUAGGGAGCUAUAUCUCGCUUAUAGUGAGAUUUUUUAGCAAAGGUAGCAGGCCUUAUUGAACAUCAAGAAUGUUACAGGUAUUAUGAGCGUAUCAUGCAGAUUGCCUAACCAAAUAUGCCUUCCCUGAUACCCAAAAAGAUGAGGAGAGUUCUGUUAAAAGCUAUGCAAUGAUUAACAGAGUUUCUGCUGCAACAUCUACGCCAGCGCCAAUGCUCUGAAUCUGAAAGUUCUGUUUAAUGAUCGCUUCAUCCACCAAAUGAAUGUAGGAGUAGGCAACAAAUUCAGAAGCAAAACCAAAACCUCAAGAAAGAAAAACAUAGCCUAGGGGAAGAUAUGCACAUUUCUUACAUUAAUAAAUGUGCCAGAAGACAGGUAACACGACGCAGUUUGGUAAUGCGUCGUGCUGUUUAAUGCUGGCCAGUGUUUCCGAUUAAUCUAUGCUUCCCUCUACAGGAUGACCAAACUGUUAACAGGAACAAACACAUAACAUUUUCCAUUGAAGCAUUGUUUUUGGGCAGGGAUAAGAUAUAACUAAGUAUUUCCUCAGUUCAGGUCUCCAAAUUGCUUCCACACCACGCCAUGAGGUAGCGCAUCAGAAGAACGAAAGUAUUUAGUUUGAUCAUCAUUGGACAGUUUUCAACAUCAGAAAACAUGAGAUAAACAACAAAAACCAUUAUUUGGGGCGGGAAGAAGAUAAAAUGAAGUACUUCCUCAGUUCAGGUCUGAAAAUUGCUUCCGCACUGUACCAUGAGAUAGCACAUCAGAAGAACGAAAGUAAUUGGUUUCAUCAUCAGACAGUUUUCAACAUCAGAAAACACAAGAUAGACAACAAAAAACCAUUGAUUUGGGGCAGGAAGAAUUUAAAUUUAAGUAUUUCCCCAAUUCAGGUCUCCAAAUUGCUUCCGCACCGCGUCAUGAGAUAGCGCAUCAGAAGAGCGAAAGUAUUUAGUUUGAUCAUCAUCAGACAGUUUUCAACAUCAGAAAAAAUCAGAUAAACAACAAAAACCAUUGUUUUGGGCCGGGAAGAAGAUAGAAUUAAGUGUUUCCUCAGUUCAUAUCUCCAAAUUGCUUCCACACUGUGCCAUGACAAUAAUAAGAAGUAACUUUCUGAGGGCACCCUCAGAACAUUUGCAUAAUUGUAUCACAGUAUUUUUCUUAGGAUAUUUGUCCAGCCAUCAGGAGGCAAAAACAGGAACAAAAUGGCAACUAGAAAACAAAUAAAUAACAAUAUGAGGUAUGUCAUUGCUUCUGAUCGCUCUAGGUGAUAAUAUAUAUCUCAUCAACACAUGAAUCAGACAACUAUAUUUUACGAACACAGGUGAGCACCACUCACCAGGAUCCAAGAACAACAAUCUGCGGUCCAGAAACAGACUAGGAAAGAAGAAUCAAACUGCAGUAUCCUCAGUUCAGGUCACCAACUCUUCCAUAUUCAAGAUUUUCGGAACAAGGAACGUACCAUUGUGAUUGAUGGUUGAGCUGUCAGACAAUGCUUUCUAGGCAAACGCACUCAAUCAAGCAGAAGUGAAGAAAGAGGAUAAAGGAAUAAUAGAAGAUCAAAUCAGUAUCCCUCAGGUAAUAUGCUUAUGUUUUUCAUCAACAGAGAAAACUCAGGUCUCAAAGAUGUGCCAUCACUGGACUUACAGAACUGAACCGAAUAGAAAAGGAUAAAUUAAAAUCAGGCAAUUUUGGAGAAUGUUAUUCGCUGGGGAAGCAACUAUCCCCAAAAGUCUAAAACCCAAAAUGGGGCGUGGCCAAGUGGUAAGGCAGCUGGUUUUGGUCCCGUUACUCGGAGGUUGGAAUCCUUCCAUCCCAGAUUGUUUCUGAUGAAACAAACAGUGAAAUCAUACUUGUAGCUAAGAGAACAAUGCUUUCAUCUGUUAAAACCUCAGAAAACUGCAUAAAUUUUCGCCACUUAAAAAUCUGACAGUAAUUCCAACAUGUAGCUAAUCAUCAUGGGCAUAACCCUGUACUUAUCCAGUUGGGCUUCUCUUGGCUGAAGGCUGAAAUCUUCACUUAACUAGGAGUACCGAGGGCAUUGGAGAACUGAAGGCAACUAGACUGAUCCGAAAGACUAGGUCAAAGCUGCUCAUCAGUCUCCUCUCACAAAACUGUUCGUGACAAUUCAAUGUGUUUGUUCAGCAAAAAAUGCAUUGCAUCACCGGCCAAAAUCUUCUACACAGGUACUACUAGAAAAAUAACAGUGCACAGAGAUUCAAAGUAUUCUCAGCAUAUGUACAUACUAGGAGUAAUCUGUGUCAGAUUCAAAGUAUUCUCAGCACCCUUUCGAGGAAGUAAGACAGGGAUAACUGCAUUUUUUACUUGUGAUUGAUGGCAGAUUGUAUGACGAGUCAGAAGUAGCUGGUUGAAGAUCUCAUGUUUAUUACAAAUCAAUGGGAAUCCGAAUGAUUUUCUUCUUCAUACUCGCAAUCCAAGCCAAAUCAUGCUGCACAAGAUGAUGGAAGUAAUCGUGUCAGAUUAAAAGUACCUAAAAUCUUAAAAGUGCACGCGCACUGUUUCGCGACACCGAGCGGCGGCGCUACGCGACAGCGGACAGCGACCUCACACGCUCAGUCCAUCUCUCCACUAAAAGAAAAAAGGAAAAUCUUCUCCACUCCCGAGCAGCACGACCUUCUUCCUCCACUAACCACCGCCGCUGUGCACCCCGCCUCCUCCGGUCCUCCCUCGCGCCGCCUCCUGACAACGCCAACUCGCCGUCGCGAUUGCCCAUCGCCACCCCAGCAGGCCUCGCAUCUUUCCCUCCAGGGCGCCACCAUGAGCCGCCGCAGGAAGCAAUCCCCAACCUCCGGCGCCGCCGCGACUCAUCUUCUGCGAUGGGCACACGCCGCUCCGCGGCUGCGCACAGCUGUGAAUCCUCGCACUUAGCCGUGAGGGCUCCAUCGCCUACUCAAGUGCCCAUCACAUGCAGGUAGUAUUCCCCUUCNNNNNNNNNNNNNNNNNNNNNNNNNNNNNNNNNNNNNNNNNNNNNNNNNNNNNNNNNNNNNNNNNNNNNNNNNNNNNNNNNNNNNNNNNNNNNNNNNNNNNNNNNNNNNNNNNNNNNNNNNNNNNNNNNNNNNNNNNNNNNNNNNNNNNNNNNNNNNNNNNNNNNNNNNNNNNNNNNNNNNNNNNNNNNNNNNNNNNNNNNNNNNNNNNNNNNNNNNNNNNNNNNNNNNNNNNNNNNNNNNNNNNNNNNNNNNNNNNNNNNNNNNNNNNNNNNNNNNNNNNNNNNNNNNNNNNNNNNNNGAGGAUUCAGCCGUGAACUUGUUUGGAUUUAUAGGAAUGAAUAUUGUUGGAUCUAAAUCUGGUUAAUACUCUGUCAUUUUCCUACUUCAUAAAUUUACUUUGGAAAGUUCAUAUAUUUAGUAGUCUGGACACGGGAAAUUUAAUUGCAAUGUUGAUUCAACUUGGGUUUUCUAUGGCAGCUGGAGUAGAAAAUACAAAUUUGUAGUGUAACAACUAUAGUCUAAUCUGCCGGAUAUUGAUGGGAGCAAUCAGAUUUUUGAUGUCUGUGCAGUUCAUCUACAUGUUAUUGACAAUUUUUAUUCAGACAUCUAAUUCACCUCCACAUAUGCUUGUCUAGUCUGCUACCUUACCCAAAUAGUACUAGUACUGAAAUAUUAACAACAUUUUCAUUCUCACAUAUUGUUAACUCAACCUCUUCUAGGUAUUUUUUCAGGAAAUGCAGUCAAAUUCAUGUACAGAUGCAUCACUUUUGUGAUCCUACUAGUCAAUCUCCGGUAUGAUGCUUGGAACGUUGAUGAUUGGAGUGUUGAUCUAUACAGGAGUUUCGGCAUCUUUCUCAAGGAGCUACGUCGACUAGGAUGAGUGGUGGGUUUGUACGGCGGUUAGGAUUAUAGUGGUGGGUUUGAGUUGGAUUUUCACGGUGAGCUGUUCAGAUUUUGUCACUACUGGUAUGGUUCAUGAUCCUUAUUUGAUCCAUCUAUUCUUGCCUAGACUGCAAUUGUCUCGUUAAACAUGAUACUCUCUGUAGAGCUUCAUUACAUUAUUGACCUCUUUUUCUCGUAAAUGCAUCCGUGUGGUUUCUUUGUUUUCUCAUAAGUCGCAUGCAUAUAAGUAACCAGUUGGCUAGUUUGUUGUAAUAGUUGCACAUGAACGCAAAUGUAGUUGGAUGACACAUAUACAUGUCUCAGUUGGCUAGCCAACUUAUGAAGUUGCACAGUGAAGGCUAACCAGUUGCACAGUCGAUGGUAUUCUUCUGCAGCAGCCGCUGAGGUAACAUAAAAUUCCACCAGGGAUAUUUUUUACUCCACAUAUAGGCAACCAAGUGUAUUAAUUUUCAUACAUAGUUGCAGAAGGACUAAUUAAGCAUUGGCAUGCUGAACUUUCUCAGUUGCUCAACGUUGCAUCUUCAAGUUUUUUAGAAUUGUCCCAAGAGUAUGUAAUGACUUGGCAUCCUCAGACUUUCUAGUUGCAGAAUAGUAUCUAAUUAGUUGGCAACCUCAGUAAUUCUAGUUGCACAACAAUAUACAACUAGUUGACAUCCUCAGCUUCUCUAGUUGCACAAGAACUCAGAUUAGUCCCAUCUAAAAAAAUUGAGGAUUGCCCAACAGUAUCUAACGACUUGGCACCCUCAGGUUUUCUAGUUGCAGAAGAGUAUUUAUUUAGUUGGCACCCUCAGCAAUUCUAGUUGGACAACAGUAUCCAAGUAGUUGACAUCCUCAGCCUCUCUAGUUGCACAAGAAUUCAGAUUAAUCCCAUCUUAAAUUUUUUGAGGGAUUGCCCAACAGUAUCUAGUGACUUGGCACCCUCAAGUUUUCUAGUUGCAGAAGAGUAUCUAUUUAGUUGGCACCCUCUACGAUUCUAGUUGGACAACAUUAUCCAAGUAGUUGACAUCUUCAGCCUCUCUAGUUGCACAAGAAUUCAGAUUAAUCCCAUCUUAAUGUUAGGAUUAAUCUUGAUUAUGUAUCUGCGUUGUAUUUUCGUUUAGCAUGUAGUCUAGUGUAGGUUGAUGUUUGUCCCGUGAAGCUUCAGCUCAGCAUGCAGAGGAGGCGAGAUGUUGGGCUGCCGUGCGAUACGGCGAGCACGGCGAGAUGCCGAUGGCAGCGUGAGGCUGCAGUGCUACGCGAGGCAGCAUGGCCGUGUGAUGCGGCAAGUGCGUGAGAGGCUGGAGCGUGACGGGCUGCAUGAAGAGGUUGAACCGGGCGAUCCGGCAAGUCAUUAUCAGUUGUAUACAUGCUAGUUUGGUUCGGUCUAUGGCCGUUCAUGAGGCUGCCCAAGUACUGGCCGUGCAUGUAGUUCUGCAUGUUGAGGGGGUUAGAUGCAUAGUCGUUAGGAUCCUGCAGAGAUGCCUGGAGUAGGAUAAGGCCAGUUAGUGGGUGUGGUAGUGCAUGCAUGGAUUAGUUUGUUAAUGGCCGAGCAUGGCGGCCUGUUAGUUCGUGCGUGACUUAGUGGCCCGGCCAGGUUGUGCGUGAUGGCCAACAGUCUAUGUAUAUAUAUGUCACACUGAGCAAUGAGAAAAUAGAGGCCGUGAGGGCUCAAGAGAAAAGAUGUAGCACUUGUGGUUGCCAAGAAAGAGUACCUCUCGGCAAAGUUAGUUGUUUUUCUUCCUUGUUAUACAUGCGUGUGUGUGCAGUUUCACCAUGUGUGUGUGUGUUCUUGAGAGAAACCAUAGAAGAGAAGAAGAGAGGAACCCAAAUAGAGUUGUGGGAGGCAGCUCGAGGUAGAAGAAAAGCAGCGCUGCCAGAGGCGGCGCCAACACUUGAAAAAUUUGAGGAUUGCCCAAUAGUAUCUAAUGAUUGGCACCCUCAGGCUUUCUAGUUGCAGAAGAGUAUCUAUUUAGUUGGCACCCUCUGCAAUUCUAGUUGGACAACAUUAUCCAAGUAGUUGACAUCCUCAGCCUCUCUAAUUGCACAAAAAUAUCUCAUUAGUUGACAUCAUCAGCAUUUCUAGUCGCACAAGAAUAUCUCAUUAGUUAUCAUCACAAGUAUUUCUAGUUGCAGAACAAACAGGAUAUCAAGUUACCAUCCUCAACUUUUUAAUCUAGUUUUCCAGAGAACAAAUAUUUGUAUGUAAUGAUAACUAAUCACCUCUACCUUUUUUUUGCAAACCCCAAGAUAUUGUUCAAGGAAAUGAGAGUAAUGAAGCAAAUAAUGUUGAACGACGGUCACAAGCUGGCUACCUGAUGGAGACUGCCUGGUACGCCUCUCUCCUCCCUCUUCUUUACCACUUCCGUUCUUGCGUUCAUUGCUUUGCCAUUAUAGCUCUGUUUUGGAUCCAGGCUAGGACCCUUUCUUUCGUUGAAAAGAAGGAGCCCUGUGGAGAAGGAAGUGUGGGCGAGGGGUGCAUGGAGGCUUCGGGAGUUAGUGGGCUAUCAUGUGAUACCGAUUGGCCUUUGUUUUCUGAUUCUUCAUGGAUUUUAGGGGUCGGAACAAAGUUUCCUUUAUGGAAACAGUGGGGACAAAAAGUUACCUUUUCCGGCCGCUCGCGAGCGCUACCAGGCCAACGGCCGCUAGCCAGACGCAUCCUUAAAAGUAUUCUCAGCACCCUUCCGAGGAAGUAAGACAGGAAUAACUGUAUUUUUACUUGUGAUCUCAUCAUCCACAUCCAUAUUUAUCAGUUCGAAAAAACAAUAAAAAUCAAAUGCUCGUACAAUCUAUCACGGCCGGCACAUUUAGAUCCAGAAAGACAAAGAAAAAAAAAUAGAGGACGGCAUGUGAAUGUAUGUGGCGUUUCCAGGAUAAGCUGGCACAGAGGACGCCACCAAUCAGGAUAUACCACACAUUAGAGAAUCGCAUGUAGCGUCCGAGACUAAUUACCACGAGGAACAAAAAUCAUCCUCAGGAAUUGGUAAUGAAUGCGCACCAAAAAAUGUUGUUUUGGGAGGGAAGAUAUAAUGAAGCAUUUCCUCAGUUCAGGUCUCCAAAUUGAUUCCGCACCACACCACAAAAUAGCACAUCAGAAGAACGGAAGUAUUUAAAUUGAUCAUCAUCGGACAGUUUUCAACGUCAGAAAACAUGAGAUAAACAACAAAAUCAAUUGUUUCAGGGCGGGAACAAGAACAAAAAUAUUUAGUUCGAUCAUCUUCAGACGGUUUUCAACAUCAUAUACAGUCAUCAGGAGCCCAAAACAAGGACAAAAUAACAAAAAAUAAACACAAACGAACAAUAUCAGGUAUAUCGUUGCUUCCCUCUAGGUGAUAAUAUCUCAUCAACACAUGAAUCAGAUCACUUUAUUUUACCAGCACAGGUGAUCACAAGGAUGCAUGAACAACAAUCUGCAAUCCACAAACAGACUAGGAAAGAAAAAUUGAACUGCGGUAUCCUCAGCUCUUCCAUACUCAAGAUUUCCAGUAGUUAAGUAGAAUGGAGAUUGAUUGUUGAACGGUAAGAAGCAAAUGCACCUCCAUCAAGCAAAAGAAUAGUCAAUCAAGAGUGAAGAAAGAGGAUCAAGGAAUAACAGAAGGUCGAAUCAGUAGACCUCAGGGAUUAUGCUUAUGAUUUUCAUCAAGGAAGAAAAGUCAGGUCUCAAAGAUGUGGCAUCACUGGACUCGGGAACUUAACUGAAUAAAAAAGGGCCAACUAAAAGUCAUAAACAUAUAAUGAUAAGCAGGAGCAAUUUUGGAGAAUGUUAUUCGCUGCCCCUCACAAUUAAAAGUAGGGGAAGCGACUCAUCCCCAUAAAGUCUGCCCCUGGAAAAAAUCAAGCCCCACAGAUACAUAAAACAAAAGGAUCAACUAAUAAAGGGGGUCUUCAACAUAAUUUGUCCUCAGAAUUGCAGAAUGACAGCAUGGACGCAUAGCAACCAAUCAGUCCCGAAAGAUGGUAUGAUUUAACAGGUUUUUCAUCACCGGAACCAUAAACAAGGUCUAUAUAAGUCAAACCUAAAUUAUUUUAGGGUUGGAAGUCAGAAUUGCAUAUUUGACAACAUGGCAAACAAGAGCGCACCAAUCAGACUCAACAUCGUGACAAUAAUAAUAAUGACGGAAAUGUUGUAUUCAUAAACAAAAAUGCAAAAAUCUAAGCCUUUCAUUAGUUAAGCAGAUAAGCAACGACACCUAAUUAGGCCAACCUAUGUUAACAGUUCAGUGAACGAAUUACACCAACAAACCUGGCAAUAGACCGGGCACACCCAAAAAAAAAACAGGAUUCAAUUAGCCAACAAACCUGUAAUGCACAUAAAUGCAUAAGAAUAGACGAGCUCUUGCCAACCAUUGAAAUGACUAAAGCCCAUGGCAAAACAAACUCUCAAAGAGUUCAAGAAGGAAUUCAAGAUACAAUAUAUUAAAGGUUCCAGAACAAAGACAUUAUCUAGGGCAAAACAUCAUCCAAGGUAAUCGUCUAAACAAGAACACUCCUUAAGAUUCUGGAAAUGGACCAACACAGUAGUAGAAAAGCUAUGGGGGAUCGUUGUGAAGCAGCUUAUCGCUUCUUGGAGACACCAACAGUCUUUCCUCUCCUGCCGGUAGUCUUGGUGUGCUGACCACGGACACGCACGCCCCAGUAGUGACGCAGACCACGAUGGUUCCUGGAAAAGAGGAGGGUUUCAAGCAUAAGUGAUUACUCACGCAUCUAUGCACUAGGACAAGGCUACUGCAACAGUUUAGUCUAAAGGAAUCAGGCAUCACCAUACAUCUCUUGGAAACAAAGCAUUGCUAUACAGAACUACUGGGUCACAUACAAGGUACACCAGAAGGAUACAGAUGAAUAUGUACAAGUAAUAGACAGGCUAGUCCUAACAGAUUGACCAAACUGAACUUUUGUAACCAAAACUGCUACUUGCCUUUAUAACUUGAGAGCAGGGCUUCUCGUUAAUAAGAGUAAAUACAGACAUAUGACAUUGUAUUUUUGCAGAAAAGAAACAUUAAUUCCGAUCUACACAAGCUAACGCUGGACUAGGUUAGGCCUAUUUCACAGGAUAAACCACUACAGAAUGAAGCAGAUGAAGUCAGCACAUGCUACCAGAAAAACACUAUGCACAUCAAGAACAACAGAAUAAACGCGUUUCAGGCAUUCUAAUGUCCGAAGAUCUGCUUAGAGAAACCCACUAUGCCAAUCCCAAGACUAGACUGUAAAGUACUGGAUGAGAUAUCAACUACUGCAGCUACUAAAGCAUGUGCAAGAUGUUAGUUAACAGCAUCAUAACCAGUUGAACCUAGCGCAUAAUCAUCGAUCAACCA